UACAGAGGUGGCAAGCGUUGUUCGGAAUUACUGGGCGUAAAGCGCACGUAGGCGGCUUUCUAAGUCAGGGGUGAAAUCCUGGAGCUCAACUCCAGAACUGCCUUUGAUACUGGGAAGCUUGAGUUCGGGAGAGGUGAGUGGAACUGCGAGUGUAGAGGUGAAAUUCGUAGAUAUUCGCAAGAACACCAGUGGCGAAGGCGGCUCACUGGCCCGAUACUGACGCUGAGGUACGAAAGCGUGGGGAGCAAACAGG
rnacentral:rRNA from 1 species